GUUAAAAGUUCCUUCCAGGGACCAUUACCUCCUCUCACUUCCAAGCUGUGCGUGCAUGCCAAACAUUCUGCCGAGAUGUUCACAGAGAAGCUUGGGGAAAGAAAGUAGGAAACCGAAACCAAAGGUGCAGAGCUGAGGUGAAAGACGGUUUAGAUGCUCCGAUGUGAUGACUGAGCAGAACUGAUGAGGCUGAAAAAACUGAAGUAGUGCACAACAGGCUUCUGCUUUCAACGUUUCAAAUACAAUAAUGAAGUUAAAAGUCGCUGUUAUUAGCUUCCAAUGGCCUUGCGAAAUCUGCUUCUAUGACAGAGGUGAUGAUGGCCAACUUGGCAAGAAGCUGCAGGGUUAUGCUCAAACCUUCAAAAACAGACCAGAGCUGAGGCCAUAGACAGACGGCGCAGGUGAGAGGAAGCAUAAAUUCUGCAGCUUAGCUGCUCUGACUCCACUUGGCCUGAAUGGGCCUCCCUCCGUGGAGGGGUCUGAGGCCCCUUGGGCUGGCGGAUUUAUGUCAGUGAAAGCAGUGUAGUAGAAAGAGAUUAAGAAUAAUUUCAAAGGGUGCUUGAGUGGGUUGCUCCUCCAUCUGAGCAGCCUGGGACACAGAGUUCAGUCUGUGAGGACCUGGGUUGGUGCCAGCGAAGGGAGUAGGGCAGGCCUGAGGAAUGGAAGGUCACUGGCAAAUUGGGUGUUGUGAUAAUUAUAUUCUUGUUUCCUUGAAGGUACCAGCGUCCUUGAUUUUCCAGCUUCAAAGUGAACUGCCUCUGAAGUCGGGGGACAUUCACACCUGCUUUGCUGCCAUUGAUUUCUGCUUUCCUGGCUGCAGACUCAACAAGACAAUACAUCUGUUGACAUUUUCAAGGCCAUAUUCAUAAACCAGGCAUGGGAAGCUUCUCUUCCACCUUUUCUUUUUAAGGGAAAAUAACAAGGUUUGUGUGGUCAGUGAUAAUUCAGCAACGAAUCCAAUUUAAUGGUUUUACCUUAAAUUCAGAUGCUUUAUGAAUCAGGUACUCUAAAUCAUCAACACCACCACUCUUACCUUCUCUCCCUCCAAUUCUCACCCCUUCCUAAAAGGACAAUCAGAGGACCAGGUCUAGUAAUCACUACAAGUGUCAGUGUCCAAUACACCUGGAAUGGCUUUUUCCUUUAUUUUUCCUAUCUCGUUCAUCUCCAGAGAAGCUGUACCAACAAUGGAUAAGAAGUAUAAGCACAGCUCUGCCUUUCAUAUGUUCCUAUAGCACUUAGCUUCCUAUGAGACCUCAAGAGAGGGCCUUGUGUGUCUACUGGGUGAAAUGAAUAUGAUCUAAAAGUGGAAUUUCCCCCAGCUAAACACAUAUAUCUGCUGUCUCCCCACCCCAACUUCUCACUGGCCAUCUGAACCCUCCCAUCAUUAAAUGGGCAAAUUUAAAACCAUAUUUUCAUGUAAGAAUUCCAUUUGUUACAGAUCAAAUGACUGGUUUCUGACACUUAAAACCUUCCCAAGAAGUAAACUGGAUAUUAUGCAUAGGUUCCUGGAUCCUGCCCUCUGAUGUUUUUCUGUUGUUGCUAUCAGUUUUAUAGACUACACUUUUCUUCCUAGGCACAAGCAGGUUCUGGUCAAAACCUAGAAAUUGGAGAGAGGGAAAUAUUCUCUAUUUUUCUGCCUAGUUCUUGUUCUGAUCAUGACAGUGAUAAAUAGUGACUCCAUAUACAAAAUAUUUCAUAAUUAUGUUUGACUUUUACUCUGAGAUUGUACGAAUAGACACUAUUACAUUAAUGAAUUUUGAAUUUAGUGAUAUAAAUAAAGUAUUUUCACAUUGAA
rnacentral:lncRNA from 10 species